rnacentral:rRNA from 1 species
GACGAACGCUGGCGGCGUGCUUAACACAUGCAAGUCGAGCGGAAAGGCCCUUCGGGGUACUCGAGCGGCGAACGGGUGAGUAACACGUGAGCAACCUGCCCUCAGCUCUGGGAUAGCUCCCGGAAACGGGAAUUAAUACCGGAUACGACCCUGACUGACAUCGGUUAGGGUGGAAAGGAUUCCGGCUGAGGAUGGACUCGCGGCCUAUCAGCUAGUUGGUGGGGUAACGGCCCACCAAGGCGACGACGGGUAGCCGGCCUGAGAGGGCGA